rnacentral:lncRNA from 1 species
UACAUCCAAAGAAGAUAGAAAAACUACAAAUGAAGUAGAACUUCCAGGUUGCAGAAUGGUUUUCAAACUCUGAAGUUUUUUUAGAGGUUGGGCUAUGAAGGAUGGGGUAUGGAUCAAUCCAAUUUCCAAAGUAUCUAAAUUGUUGGCACAAAAGUGUUUUGUUUGUUUAUUAAAAGAAUGUGGAGGUAUUAUAUGUUUUCUUAUAUUAAAUCAUUAAAUUUCUUUUUGUACUCCAAUUUUCUUUGAAUUUUUUAAGUAGGUACUAUAUUUUUAUUAGCUUUUUGAAGUGUUCUUGAAAUUUUCCUUUUUAAAAACAUCAAACAAUUAAGCUUCCUACUUUGAAUUCAAGAAGAUAAAACUGCCUAAGAGUGAAUGUUUUUUUCUUAGCCAAAUAAUUGAUUUCUGAAGAGAGAAUCAAGUCGUUAUUACAAAAAAAA